rnacentral:lncRNA from 1 species
CACUCUGUAAACCAAGCUGGCCUCAAACCCACAGAGCUCCAACUGCCUCUGCCUCUCAAGUGUUGGAAUUAAAGGUUGGGGGGGGGGGGGAAGAAUCACCUUGCUCCCACCUGCAGGGAGAGCCAGAGCCAAGCGCCUGGAAGAACCCAGCAUCUCCAUACCGGCUCACAGUCUCUCCAUGCAGCCUGCCUCUCAGCCAAUCCUUUCAGAUGUUCAAGUUCAGACUCAUGACCUACCCCAGGCUGGCCCAAGUGCCCCUGAAGCUAGCCAUCAUGUCCCAAUGAAGGUCCCAAUGAAGAGAGAUAAAGGUCCAAGGGAGAUGUGGUGGGA